rnacentral:rRNA from 1 species
CCUACGGGGGGCAGCAGUGAGGAAUAUUGGUCAAUGGCCGGAAGGCUGAACCAGCCAUGCCGCGUGAAGGUCAGUGCCCUAUGGGCGUUAAACUUCUUUUGUGCGGGAGCAAUAAUGGUCACGUGUGGCCAGACGAGAGUACCGUACGAAUAAGCAUCGGCUAACUCCGUGCCAGCAGCCGCGGUAAUACGGGGGAUGCAGGCGUUAUCCGGAUUUAUUGGGUUUAAAGGGUGCGUAGGCUGUGAGGUAAGUCAGCGGUGAAAUGCCCCCGCUCAACGGGGUGAAGUGCCAUUGAUACUGCCUGGCUGGAAUGCGGAUGCCGUGGGAGGAAUGUGUGGUGUAGCGGUGAAAUGCAUAGAUAUCACACAGAACACCGAUUGCGAAGGCAUCUCACGAAUCCGCGAUUGACGCUGAUGCACGAAAGCGUGGGUAUCAAACAGGAUUAGAUACCCUUGUAGUC